rnacentral:rRNA from 1 species
AGAGUUUGAUCAUGGCUCAGAAUCAACGCUGGCGGCGUGCCUAACACAUGCAAGUCGAACGCGAAAGUGGAGCAAUCCAUGAGUAGAGUGGCAAACGGGUGAGUAACACGUGGGUGACCUGCCUUCGAGCGGGGGAUAACGUCCCGAAAGGGACGCUAAUACCGCAUAACAUCCUGCCUUUUAAGAGGUGGCGAUCAAAGCCGGGGAUUCGCAAGAACCUGGCACUUGAAGAGGGGCCCGCGCCUGAUUAGCUAGUUGGUGGGGUAAUGGCUCACCAAGGCAACGAUCAGUAUCCGGCCUGAGAGGGCGGACGGACACACUGGGACUGAGACACGGCCCAGACUCCUACGGGAGGCAGCAGUGGGGAAUUGUUCGCAAUGGGCGCAAGCCUGACGACGCAACGCCGCGUGGAGGAUGAAGACCUUCGGGUCGUAAACUCCUUUCGAUCGGGACGAAUGGUUUCCGGGUGAACAAUCCGGAAAAGUGACGGUACCGAGAGAAGAAGCCCGGCUAACUCCGUGCCAGCAGCCGCGGUA